rnacentral:rRNA from 1 species
CCUACGGGAGGCAGCAGUGAGGAAUAUUGGUCAAUGGACGAGAGUCUGAACCAGCAAAGUAGCGUGAAGGAUGACUGCUUUAUGGGUUGUAACUUUUUUUUAUAUGGGAAUAAAAUGUUCCAUGCGUGGUAUUUUGUAUGUACCAUAUGAAUAAGGAUCGGCUAACUCCGUGCCAGCAGCCGCGGUAAUACGCAGGAUCCGAGCGUUAACCGGAUUUAUUGGGUUUAAAGGGAGCGUAGGUGGAUUGUUAAGUCAGUUGUGAAAGUUUGCGGCUCAACCGUAAAAUUGCAUUUGAAACUGGCAGUCUUGAGUACAGUAGAGGUGAGCGGAAUUCGUGGUGUAGCGGUGAAAUGCGUAGAUAUAACGAAGAACUCCGAUGGCGAAGGCAGCUCACUGGACUGCAACUGACACUGAGGCUCGAAAGUGUGGGUAUCAAACAGGAUUAGAUACCCUAGUAGUC